rnacentral:misc_RNA from 1 species
UUUUAACAAUACUUUAUGUUUAUACAAGCCGGAUUUAUAAACACCAACAAUGUCAUUAGUCAAGCAGCUAGAUCCUGCAAUUUGCAACGUGAAAGUUACCCCUGGAGCUGUGGUGUGCUUUGAGGCAGACUAUUAUGGGGACAUAACCAUUGGUGCUCGCACAGUCAUUCACCCAAAGGCCCGUAUCAUUGCUGAGUCAGGACCUAUUAUCAUCGGGGAAGGCAACCUGAUCGAGGAACAAGCUCAGAUAAUAAACAAACUGCCAGAGGGUGUUGAGGCUGGUGAUGAGCCUCCAGUGAUGGUGAUAGGCAACAACAAUGUCUUUGAGGUGGAUAGCUACUGCCAGGCUUCAAAAAUGGGCGAUAACAAUGUCCUGGAAGCUAAGAGUCACAUAGGCCCGGGUGUGGAACUGUCCCGUGGGUGUGUGGUGGGGUCCCUGUGCUCUAUGGUGUGUCCACAAGUUGUACAAGAAAACACAGUUAUUUACGGGGAUGAACUUCACCACAGAACUCAGUCGGAGAAGCCAGCCCCACAAGGACUCCAGCUGGACUUCCUCACCAAAAUUCUGCCCAACUACCAUCACUUAAUUAAACCUAAGAAAAAGGCAGUGGAAUCUCAGCAUCAAUAAAACAGUCUUCAGGAGGCAGAAAGGCUUGCUCGGAGGUGAGAAAGGCCGCUUCUUUGAUCAUGGGGGGCGGUCACGUCAAGCCUCGAUGACGGUUCCCAGUGUACGCCCUCAAUGUUACCAGCCUUGUACUAUGGAUGAAGAACAUUCGUAUUUGUACACACACGCCUGAAUUAUUAAAGAUCUCUCUCCA